UAGGGUGUAGUGUUAUAGGCAUAUUGCUUUUGGAUAGUAAAGGAAAAGCCCUAA
rnacentral:tRNA from 1 species